AUAGGUGAUACUAGACAAUCUUAAUUCACACAAUAGUUUGUUCUAGAAUGUAUAGCUUUCUACUCUUAAUAAUAUGAUAAGAGUUGUGGUCUACCAUAGGAUAUUAAUCUAUUGAACAUUUGGUAAUUUUUUUUAUUAGACUUAUUUGCAUUGGACACCUGAUAUGUGUAAUGCUGAAUAAAAAGCACAAAAAAUUGAACUGUGAUACUAAAUUUGAUUCCAAUCCGAAAUCCAUAAAACAAAAAAAUAAAAAUAAUCUGAAGUCUCUGUCUCCUAACGUAUAUAUCAAUCAUCAUAUAUUACUGAAAAGGAACAUUAACCAAAAAAGAUGAACAAAUUAAAGGGAUUAUUCCAUCUACAGUUAUCAAUAUAGCAUAUACCAAGCUUGAUCAUUCAAUAGGUACAGUGUGGUAAAAUACCUAUAUAAACAAUUGUUUUCUUAGUAAAUUGUAUCAAGUCAAACAGUGACAAGUAAAAAUAAACAAAAAAAAUAUCUAAAAACUACGAAACGUAUGACAUAAUUUACAAUAAUUAAUAACUUAAAAUAUUUAAAAUGCAUAGAAUGAGAUUGACUCUCGAAAUUUUAAGUAAAUCACUAAAAUUGGAAAGGAGAGAGGAAAGGAGUAAGUAAGAUAGAAUAACAAAGGGACAAAUUAGGAAGUAGUGAGGCUUGAGGGUGAGGGAAAAUGAACUUUCUUGGAAAUAAUAAAAGCUUUUGAGCUAAUAAUAUUCCACAGGCUGAAACCCUCCUCUUUCCUAUAUAUAAGCAAUAUUCAAACUUUGUGAAGUAUAUGUAUGACCCUUAAUUGGUGAAAGCAUUUACUAUAUAGUUAUGGGAGAAGUAGUGUUCCAGCUGCAACAUGGCAAAAACAUGGGUUAUGUUAAGAAGGGUGCUUGGUCUCCUCAAGAAGACAAAAAAUUGAUUGAUCAUAUCGCGAAAUAUCGUAUUUGGAACUGGAGCCAGAUGCCCAAAUUUGCAGGGCUAUCAAGAACUGGAAAGAGUUGUAGACUGAGAUGGAUCAACUAUUUGAGGCCUGAUAUAAAGAGAGGGACAUUUAGCCUUGAAGAAACUCAAACAAUCAUCAAAAUGUAUCAAUCACUUGGAAACAGGCGACGAUUAAUUACCUUUCAAUUUUUAUCAUCGAAGAUGUGAUUAAGAGGUCAGCUAUAGCUAAAGAAUUGCCUGGAAGAACAGAUAACGAAAUCAAGAAUUUCUACCAUACCCAUUUAAAGAAGCACGUUGGGACAAAAGUUGAAGUGAAACCUAAAUCAAGGAAGAAAGCUAAACAAAUAGAGAUGAGUACUCAAAAGAAGCCUUUGAUAACUACUAAUUGUCCAAAUAUUCAAUCAUUUGAUUUCACCAACUCCUCCUCCUCCUCUAGCUACAUCAUAUUUGAUGAAAAUUAUGAUUUCUUGGAAACAUAUAAUCAAGAAAAUGAUGUUACUUCAAUUGUCAAUCAAGUUGAUGACGAAAACAUAGUUAUAUUGGAGAGUAAUCCAGAGAGUAUUAGUACAUCAAGUGUUGAUUUGUACAUACAAGAUUUCAUGGAUGUGAGUAUUGAUUCAUCUAAUGUUGAUUUUUGGUUGGAGCUAUAUAUGGCGGCAGACAAUCUGAACACCUAGAAGCUGAAUAUACUUGAGAAGAUUCAAUUACAAUUUUAUGUAUGCCUUUUCAUGUCCAUUAUUGUGUGUUAAGUUUAUGUAACAUAAAUCUAUAACUAUAUAUGCACUGUGUAUAUACUUGCAAUAACACCCUUCGCUGGAAAAUUGUGUGGUGUACAAUUUAGGUUUGAUGUUAUUAGCUAUUAUGAGUGUAUAUUUAGUUUUGCACACGAUUCACCAA